rnacentral:rRNA from 1 species
GAGCCUGAGAAACGGCUACCACACCUACGGGAGGCAGCAGGCGCGUAAAUUACCCAAUCUUGACUCAGGGAGGUAGUCACGAGAAAUCUUAGAUCGGCCCAAGCUGGCUGAGUACAUGAUGGAUUGAAUAUAAACCAUUCUUUGAAAUCAAUUGGAGGGCAAGUCUGGUGCCAGCAGCCGCGGUAACUCCAGCUCCAAUAGUGUAUCUUAACGUUGUUGCAGUUAAAAAGCUCGUAGUUGAAUUUC